ACUCCUACGGGAGGCAGCAGUGGGGAAUAUUGGACAAUGGGGGAACCCGUGAUCCAGCCAUGCCGCGUGUGUGAAGAAGGCCUUAUGGUUGGUAAAGACACUUUAAGCGAGGAGGAGGCUACUGAGACUAAUACUCUUGGAUAGUGGACGUUACUCGCAGAAUAAGCACCGGCUAACUCUGUGCCAGCAGCCGCGGUAAUACAGAGGGUGCGAGCGUUAAUCGGAUUUACUGGGCGUAAAGCGUGCGUAGGCGGCCAUUUAAGUCAAAUGUGAAAUCCCCGAGCUUGAACUUGGAAUUGCAUUCGAUAACUGGAGUGGCUAGAGUAUGGGAGAGGGA
rnacentral:rRNA from 1 species